rnacentral:rRNA from 1 species
GCAUCAGUUGUCCUGCCAAGGGCAUAGCUGAGUAGCCGCGUACGAAUGUGAUAAACGCUGAAAGCAUCUAAGCGUGAAACACACCUCAAGAUUAGAUAUCUCCAACAUUAAGUUGAUAAGGUCACUUGUAGACUACAAGUUUGAUAGGUCAGAGGUGUAAGCACAGUAAUGUGUUCAGCUGACUGAUACUAAUAGACCGAACGCUUGAACUA